UUGUUUUGUUUGCUCUGAGUAGCACAUGAGUUCAUCUUCUGCCAUCUGCCUUUUUGUUUGUGCCUUUGACCUCACUGUCUUUUUACUCUGUUUUUGGAACCAUCUUUGUGGAGAAAUAAAUUGGAGCUGUGAGAAAACAGAAAUUAAUGAAACUAAGAAAAACCCAUGUGUACCCAGAUACAGUGAUGUGACCCUCCUGAGAGGCUGAACUGUUUUUAUAGCUCCCCCCACAGGAAGGACCUUCCUCCAGGUAAAAGAAGCCGUAUAUUUUGUUCUGCAUUUUCGUGGGGAGAUGUCUUCUGCAUUUGCCCAAGGACGGAGGUUUUUCACGCUCUACGGUCCGAGACUCUUCUGGAUUUGAACAGAAUGUACAAGGGACUGGCUGGUCAGGCAAGUGGAAAGAUAAAGCAAUGGAGACAAGCACACAGUGGACCCUUUACGAGAAUUACCUACAAAAAGGUGCUUAUAUUGUUAAAGGGCACUAUUUUCUGAUCUGUGUUUUCAUGUUGUUUCAUCAUUACAAAC